AAUGGGGUUCUAACAUGGCUGUUAUAGAAUGUUGUAGUGUCAUGUUAAUGAGGUUCUAACAUGGCUGUUAUAGAAUGUUGUAGUGUCAUGUUAAUGGGGUUCUAACAUGGCUGUUAUAGAAUGUUGUAGUGUCAUGUUAAUGAGGUUCUAACAUGGCUGUUAUAGAAUGUUGUAGUGUCAUGUUAAUGGGGUUCUAACAUGGCUGUUAUAGAAUGUUGUAGUGUCAUGUUAAUGGGGUUCUAACAUGGCUGUUAUAGAAUGUUGUAGUGUCAUGUUAAUGGGGUUCUAACAUGGCUGUUAUAGAAUGUUGUAGUGUCAUGUUAAUGAGGUUCUAACAUGGCUGUUAUAGAAUGUUGUAGUGUCAUGUUAAUGGGGUUCUAACAUGGCUGUUAUAGAAUGUUGUAGUGUCAUGUUAAUGGGGUUCUAACAUGGCUGUUAUAGAAUGUUGUAGUGUCAUGUUAAUGGGGUUCUAACAUGGCUGUUAUAGAAUGUUGUAGUGUCAUGUUAAUGGGGUUCUAACAUGGCUGUUAUAGAAUGUUGUAGUGUCAUGUUAAUGGGG